rfam:Zootermopsis nevadensis contig33837, whole genome shotgun sequence.
UAGUCUAGCGGUUAGAACGCUGGUCUUGUAAUCCUGGGGUCUCGGGUUCGAUUCCCGG